GACGAACGCUGGCGGCGUGCUUAACACAUGCAAGUCGAACGGAAAGGCCUGCUUUCCCUUGUGGAUUGCGGGUACUCGAGUGGCGAACGGGUGAGUAACACGUGAGUGAUCUGCCCCCAACUUGGGUAUAAGCCUGGGAAACUGGGUCUAAUUCCCGAUAGGACUGCAGGGUGGUGCCUGUGGUGGAAAACGAUUUUCUAGUGGUUGGGGAUGAGCUCGCGGCCUAUCAGCUUGUUGGUGGGGUAAUGGCCUACCAAGGCGGCGACGGGUAGCCGGCCUGAGAGGGUGGACGGCCACAUUGGGACUGAGAUACGGCCCAGACUCCUACGGGAGGCAGCAGUGGGGAAGAUUGCACAAUGGGCGGAAGCCUGAUGCAGCGACGCCGCGUGGGGGAUGGCGGCCUUCGGGUUGUAAACUCCUUUCGACCGCGAGGAAGCCACCUGGUUGGAAGGGUGGUGACGGUAGUGGUAGAAGAAGCACCGGCUAACUACGUG
rnacentral:rRNA from 1 species